GCCGUGAUAGCUCAAUUGGGAGAGCGUUAGACUGAAGAUCUAAAGGUCCCCGGUUCGAUCCCGGGUCGCGGCA
rnacentral:tRNA from 1 species